ACAUGAAUCCAGCCCUACGGGGCGCAGCAGGCGCGAAAACUUUACAAUGCAGGAAACUGUGAUAAGGGAACACCGAGUGCUCGCAUCAAAUGCGGGCUGUCCACAUACCUAAAUCGUAUGUGUUAGCAAGGGCCGGGCAAGACCGGUGCCAGCCGCCGCGGUAAUACCGGUGGCCCGAGUGGUAGCCGCUUUUAUUGGGUCUAAAGGGUCCGUAGCCUGUCUGAUCAGUCCAUUGGGAAAUCCGGAUGCUCAACAUCCGGGCUGCCAGUGGAUACUGUCAGACUUGGGAUCGGGGGAGGUAAGAGGUACUACAGGGGUAGGAGUGAAAUCUUGUAAUCCUUGUGGGACCACCUGUGGCGAAGGCGUCUUACCAAAACGAGUCCGACGGUGAGGGACGAAAGCUGGGGGCACGAACCGGAUUAGAUACCCGGGUAGUCCCAGCCGUAAACGAUGCUCGCUAGGUGUCAGGCAUGGCGUGACUGUGUCUGGUGCCGAAGGGAAGCCGUGAAGCGAGCCACCUGGGAAGUACGGCCGCAAGGCUGAAACUUAAAGGAAUUGGCGGGGGAG
rnacentral:rRNA from 1 species